AGGAACACCGAGGUCAGUGCAACUGAAGUGGAAUGAAACACAGGAUGCUGGUUUAGCCAGUGGAAACAGGAAGUUGUUGCCCGUGUCUCCUACGGUGUAGAAGAAAGUAAGAGGCAGAGAGAAACUGCACUUAGCAGGACUGGGAGGAGCAGAAGACAGUAGGGUGGGAGUAGAGGGAGGGUGGGGAGAGCUGAGGAGCAGAGGGAAGCAACUGGGCCACCAGGACAGAAGACCUUGAAUCUCCAGGCUGAGCUGGCUGUACCGGAAGAGGAUGAAUGUGCUGUGUAGGAGGAGCGGGGUCGUGCAGUGACAUUUUCACUCAAUAUCUGACGUCUGCCGCUGGAAAAUCAGGGGCCUGUUGAGCGAUGUUGGAAGAGGAAACAGAUCAAACCUAUGAGAAUGUCCUGGCUGAGAUUCAGUCUUUCGAGCUGCCUAUUGAAGCUACUUUAAGGUAGGGCACCGUUGCAUUUUAUUGUGUCUUCUUUAGCGGUGAUAAGGUGGUCC
rnacentral:lncRNA from 1 species